rnacentral:lncRNA from 1 species
AAUACACUUGGUCAAAUAAAAGAUACACAAUGAGGAACACAUUAAUCUUGAAAAGGAUAGACAGAUGCUUUGAUAAUGAAAGAUGGAUAAAGCAACAUCUUGAGGCUAGUGUUCUGCACCUACCAGGACCCACUCAGACCAUUGCCCUCUGAAAAUCCAACUAGAAUGGCCCCCAUCCCAAAUCUAUCCGAGGCCUUUUAGGUUUGAAACCAUGUGGACUAGUCACCCUGAAUUCCCAAAGAUCAUUGACCAGGCCUUCCAUGGGAGGCCCAAUCUGCUAACCUCUAUUGACAAUUUCAAAAACAGAGGGCCCCCGGACCAAAUCCAUCUCAGGCCUUUUAGGUUUGAAACCAUGUGGGCUAGUCACCCUGAAUUCCCAAAGGUCAUUGACCAGACCUUCCAUGGGAGGCCUAAUCUGCUAACCUCUAUUGACAAUUUCAAAAACAGUGCUAC